UGCGGAGUGGUGUAGCGGCAACACGUCUGACUCUGGAUCAGAAGACCCUAGGUUCGAAUCCUAGCUCCGCAGCCA
rnacentral:tRNA from 1 species